rnacentral:rRNA from 1 species
AUACGGAGGGUCCGAGCGUUAUCCGGAAUCAUUGGGUUUAAAGGGUCCGUAGGCGGGAAUCUAAGUCUGUGGUGAAAUCUUGCAGCUCAACUGUAAAAUUGCCAUUGAUACUGGAUUUCUUGAAUUAGUGUGAAGUGGUUAGAAUGUGUAGUGUAGCGGUGAAAUGCAUAGAUAUUACACAGAAUACCAAUUGCGAAGGCAGAUCACUAACACUAUAUUGACGCUAAGGGACGAAAGCGUGGGGAGCAAACAGGAUUAGAAACCCCUGUAGUCC